CUUCGAUGAAGAGGUGAUGACGAGUCUGACUGGGGAGUCAGCUUUGGCCAGACAGCCCCACGCUGUGCUGCGUUCUGUGGUGCAGCGUAAAGGGCUCUGGUGGAAGACGCUUCCUAAAGAUGACUUAGAGGCAUUUGUCUGAGAAGG